AAUUCGAUUGAGUUUGAUCAUGGCUCAGGACGAACGCUGGCGGCGUGCUUCACACAUGCAAGUCGAACGAGGUCCAACCUGUGGCAACACAGGGGAAUACCGAGUGGCGAACGGGUGCGUAACACGUGAGCAACCUGUCCCGAAGACUGGGAUAACUCCGGGAAACCGGAGCUAAUACCGGAUAUCCCCACCGCGUCGCAUGGCGUGAUGAGGAAAUGUUUUUUCGCUUCGGGAGGGGCUCGCGGCCUAUCAGCUUGUUGGCGGGGUAAAGGCCCACCAAGGCUUCGACGGGUAGCUGGUCUGAGAGGACGACCAGCCACACUGGGACUGAGACACGGCCCAGACUCCUACGGGAGGCAGCAGUGGGGAAUCUUGCGCAAUGGGCGAAAGCCUGACGCAGCAACGCCGCGUGCGGGAUGAAGGCCUUCGGGUUGUAAACCGCUUUCAGCAGGAACGAAAAUGACGGUACCUGCAGAAGAAGCACCGGCCAACUACGUGCCAGCAGCCGCGGUAAUACGUAGGGUGCAAGCGUUGUCCGGAUUUAUUGGGCGUAAAGAGCUCGUAGGCGGUUUGGCAAGUCGGGUGUGAAAACUUCAGGCUCAACCUGGAGAUGCCACCCGAAACUGCUAUGACUGGAGUCUGGUAGGGGAGCACGGAAUUCCUGGUGUAGCGGUGAAAUGCGCAGAUAUCAGGAGGAACACCGGUGGCGAAGGCGGUGCUCUGGGCCA
rnacentral:rRNA from 1 species